rnacentral:ncRNA from 1 species
GAAAAGUUUUAUUUUAGCUUAAUAAUUAAGUUUUAUUUUUAAUUAUAUGUAAAGAUUUCUAAAAAAAGGCUAGCAGUGAUUUAUUUUAAUAAUUUAAGUAAUUAAGAGUUAGGAAUAAUAAAGAAUAUAAACUAAAUUUGUGCCAGCAGUUGCGGUUAUACAAAUUAUAUAAUUUAAUUUUUUUAAUUUUAAUUAAUUAGUUAAUUAAAUUUUAAAAUUAAAUUUGAAUGGUGAAAUUUUAAGUUUAUUUUAAAAUUUAUUUUUGUUAAUAAUUUAGGAAAUUUUAAUAAAAAACUAGGAUUAGAUACCCUAUUAUUUAAAGUGUUUAAGUUAAAUUAAAUUAGUAGUAGGUAUGUUCUUGAAAAUUAAAAAUUUUGGCGGUAUUUUAGUCUAUUCAGAGGAACCUGUUUUAUAAAUGAUAUUCCACGAUUUAAUUUACUUUUUUUAUGCUUUCAUAUCGUCGUAAUUUAAAUAUUUUUAUAGAAUUUUAAUAUUUAAGAUUUUUAUUAGAAAAUAUAUCAGAUCAAGGUGUAGUUUAUGAAAAAGUUAAAAUGGGUUACAUUUAAAUAUUUUAGGAUUUAUAUUAUUAUAGUAUUUUGAAUAUGGAUUUGAUAGUAAUUUUAAUAAAUUUAUUAAAAUGAUUAAAGCUCUAAAAUAUGUACAUAUUGCCCGUCGCUUUCAUUUAAGAUGAAAUAAGUCGUAACAAAGUAGAUUUACUGGAAAGUGAAUCUAGAUUCAA